AUCGCUUCUCGGCCUUUUGGCUAAGAUCAAGUGUAGUAUCUGUUCUUAUCAGUUUAAAAAAAAUAUUUCACAAGUGACAAUUAUUGAAAUUCAAAUUUCAGUCCAUAUAUACAGUUUGUAUUGGAACAUAGUGCUCUUAUUUACAUAUUGUCUAUGCUGCUUUCUUGCCAUGGUAAUUAAGCAUUGCCAAC